CGCAUGCGCUCCGCGGGUCGAGAGGAGAGGUGCUGGGCUCGGGUGAGCGACCUUCAUGGCGGGCGUCCUGGCGCUUUUGGGGCUGAAGCCCAGCCUGUUGGAGCAUCUGCGCAAGCAGAAGGGUUCAUAUGCGCUCUGGGCCACCAGUGCUGUCAUAGGAGGUGUGUGGCUCACAGACUGGAAGGUGAUCCUUGGUUAUGUCCCAUGGAUCAGCGGCAAAUUUAAGGAAGAUGAGUGAGCAAAACUUGUACUGUUAGGCCAGCCUACCUUGAUUUGGGGAAGCUGCUUCUCUGAUGUCCCUGGUCUGAAUCUCUGAUGUCACCUUCCGUGAAAGUGCACAACAGCUUCAUUUUAUUCUCAACAAGCAGUUGCCACAUAAUGUCCUGUCCUAACCAAUAAAUGUCUUACCUCAUGGGGUUUAUGCAGCAA